rnacentral:rRNA from 1 species
GAUGAACGCUGGCGGCGUGCCUAAUACAUGCAAGUCGAGCGAACAGACGAGGAGCUUGCUCCUCUGACGUUAGCGGCGGACGGGUGAGUAACACGUGGAUAACCUACCUAUAAGACUGGGAUAACUUCGGGAAACCGGAGCUAAUACCGGAUAAUAUAUUGAACCGCAUGGUUCAAUAGUGAAAGACGGUUUUGCUGUCACUUAUAGAUGGAUCCGCGCCGCAUUAGCUAGUUGGUAAGGUAACGGCUUACCAAGGCAACGAUGCGUAGCCGACCUGAGAGGGUGAUCGGCCUCACUGGAACUGAGACACGGUCCAGACUCCUACGGGAGGCAGCAGUAGGGAAUCUUACGCAAUGGGCGAAAGCUUGACGGAGCAACGCCGCGUGAGUGAUGAAGGUCUUCGGAUCGUAAAACUCUGUUAUUAGGGAAGAACAAAUGUGUAAGUAACUAUGCACGUCUUGACGGUACCUAAUCAGAAAGCCACGGCUAACUACGUG